CAAUGCUAUCAGCAAAAGAACUCAUGAACUACAGAACGAACUUAGUUCCAAAAAUGCUGAAGCAAAAGCUGCCGAGACAAUGAGGGAGGUCAUAAUGGAAAGUAGUCAAACCACACAGAAUGUCGGUAAAGGAGAUGAUAAGGCUUUCGAGCCUCAACGCCAAUCAAAUGACAGCACCAAUUCCUAUGCGUUUCAACAGUCGUCGAAAGGUCCAGAUAAGAGUGUUUCGUCCCUGA
rnacentral:sRNA from 1 species